AUGGCGCCUUAUUUAAGCUGCUUUAGCCUGCCUGCCUAUCUCUGCUGCUUCCUCUACAAGCCUUUUUGCCAGGAUGUUGUGUGCGUUACUUGUGGUUUGUCGUUUGUUUCUACUUGUCCUGUCUGCGUCUCCCUAGGCAGCCAAUAUACCCAGAUAGGGAGCUGAGAGCUGACAAUGGUGAACAGCUCGUUACACUGGAGACCAUUCUUGGCUACACGCUCAUCCUCACCCUUCCCAUCAUCCCCCAGGUGGUAUCACUCAACACUGAAGAAGACAUUCCAAUAAUCUAAUCAGCCGACAUGUAAACGUACCACAUCCCUGAACAACAUGCACACUGUGAUUGUCAGACAGAGAUUACUCCACACUGCAGACUAACACAGAAAGGAGGAAAAAAUGAUAACAGGACCUUUUGAGUUCCAAUGGCUGUGGUGGGAGUCGAACCCAGAAGGGCCCACCCACGUAGACCAGAGAAGGGGGGGGGGUGAGAAGGCCAAGCUGCUGAGAGCUGGUGGAACAGUAUGAACCACAGUGCUUACCACAGUGUCAGAUUUAUCUGUGUUAUUUGUCCAGGAAAAACAAAACUGUGGCUACCUUGCCUUAAAUCUAAGGUAAAUGGCUUAGAAAAUAGCUAUCAGCUACUAUAGGAGGAACUGUGUUGACCUUCAUGGCAUAAAGCCUACAUCAAGGUUUGAGUUUUUUAUUGUAUAACCACAUCGGAAUUUCUCCCCAAUAAAUGAACAUUUUGUAAUAUUUUAUUUAGAUACAAGACUUGGAGUAUACAGCCACGCUAGCUGCUCUGUGAGGCUGUACUUAGAAGCCUUAGAGCUGAAUGCUAACGUUAGCAUGCUCAGAAUAUCAAUGUUAAAAUGGUUAAAUGUUUACUAUGUUCACAAUCCUAAUUUAACAUGCUACACACACACACAAAGUACAACUGAGGCUGAUGGGAAUGCCAUUCAUUUUGCAGGUAUUUGUUUAUAAACCAACAUUUUGAGAGGGAAAUGUGCCAAAUUUAUGGCAAUCCAUGUAAUAGUCGGUGCAAAAUUUCAUUCCAGACCAAAGUGGUGGAGUGACCGACUGACAGACCGGUAUUACCAUCGGGCAACAAGAUUUCUCAGUUUCAUAGAGAUUAGUCUU
rnacentral:lncRNA from 1 species